rnacentral:lncRNA from 1 species
GUUAUUCUAAGGGUAAUUGCAUUGUAGCAAUAUAUACAAAAGAUCUUUUACGUACAAUAUCACUUUAGUUAUAAUUGCACAUAGUGGAGUUCAAAAACUAAACAUGUAUUCUAAGAUUAAUGCAAUUAAGCUCCACCUAUUUCAAAACAUCUUUUAUUUGAAAUCGCAAAUACAUAUGACGAAAAUCUUUGAGGAUGAAAAGAGUUGAACUUUCCUCAGUACCAACAAAUAUAAUUGCAAAUCCGACUUCAAACAACCAAAGAGAAUACAAUUAGCAUGUUUGAAAAAUGUGGAAGACAACAUAAUUGUGAAGUUGAAAUAAAGCUUAGACUGAAAAAGAAACCAAAAUAUUAACAUAGACAAGUCACGUUGUUGCUAUAAAAACAAAUCACACUACGAAUAUUGUACAACAAACUGGAUGGACCAAAACUGCUACUAUCACAUAAAACAUAUUGAAGUCUACCAUCUUUAUGCUCUUUAAAGGCAUUGUUCCCACACGAAUUAUCUGUUGCAACAACCUCUUGUUCGGAAUUUUAGCUGCAACAUCAUUUAAGAAUAUUAAAACAUCAUCAAAUAUAUAUAUCAAAAUACGACUUGUACACAUUAUUAACCAAUAAGAACCGUACUGCACUAAAUCACCUUUACAAUUUGAAAUUCAGAUUGUCACACAACAAAGUAAUCAAAAUACGGCUUAGAAGCAUCACAUUAUUAACUAUUGGAACUGUCUGCAGCCCCAUAGCACCAAACAUUUGAAAUUAGAACUACAACAGCAUUAAUUAAUAUUAAAGUAUCAGGAUAUUUUAAAAAUAAUGGGUAAGCAUAUGCUAUUAACCAUGGAAACUAUCAACACUACAUCACCUUCACAUUUGGACUUCUAGACAUACGAAAGCAGUCUAAUACACUUGGCCAAAGAGCACCAUUACUGUCUCCGAAAAGUUCUCUUUUAAAAGUUAAAACAUCUUUAAUGCUGCAUGCAGGACUAUGCAUAGAUAGCAACUCCCUACAUAUUAGACCAUAUUGCAUUUCAAAAUCUUUAAUAUCAGAAUUGCCAAACACCUAUAAGAACAAAAGCAAUAUCUUCAAUAGAUGCAAAACAAUUGCAAAUACUAUCAUUCGACAACCAAAGACAUUCAUAAUGUAAUUAUACCAAAAUUCUAUUUUAACCAAUCUCCAGCAUUAGAGAUACCACAUAUUUUUUCUUUUCAACACCCUUGAGGUAUCAAUUUCUAUACCAAAACAAAAUAAAAAGAAGAAAUAAAGACCACGGGUUUAAAGGAAAAAAGAAGAAGCAAGAACAGAGAAUGAUAUUCACUUACUCUUCUUGAUUUUUGUUUGUCGAUAUUCCUGUUCCAAGUCUUUUUAGUUUUGUUUAAACAAAAUUUAUAUUUUGGUUUAAUUCUGAAAAAUUAUACCUUCUAUACAAUUUUUCUUGAUAAACACCAAAUUAGGUGGUUAAUAUAAAACUACAAUUGAAUCAGAUACAAACGAACAAUACAUGUUUCAAUAAAUUUCUUGAAUACAAGCAUAAAUAAUAGGUAUCAGAUUAGUACAUAUCACAAGAUAUUCUCAACCAAGAACAAAUAUUAAAGAACUAAGAAGAAGAUUAUUUUUUCGCAAAAUUGAAUUUAGAAGCAAAGCCAAACAAUAUUUUAACUUUGUUUAACCUUUGUUGUCAUUCAAGACAUUUGCUUUUGAGCUCUUCUGCUUAUAGUGUCUUAUGCUACUGUUACUCCAUUUAGAAUGACAUAUGCUCCCUAAAGCUUUAAGGUUUCAUCUGCUCGAAUUUAGAUGGCAUUAUCACUUCAUAUAUCCUGGAGAAGUAAGUGGCGCAUAUAGUGAAACCUUAGGUUAAAAAUGUAAAAACACAACUUUUUCAUGGUUUUUCUUAACACUUCUCAAGUUUUCAACUUUUGACCAUCAACCAUAUAUUCUAUUAUACAUAUAAUGUUUCAAUUUUGAAGUGAUCUUACAAUAAAAGAGGAGCAACUGAUUUUGUUCUUCACAAGGUGCAAAUAAGAAGUAAUUAAUCUUCCUUCUUCUCGUUUACGUUAAUCGACUAACCACUUCACCAUCAUUGGAUCACACUUAAGUCUAUCAAAAGAAGUUCAUGCGAAGAAAUUGCUAGAGUAAUAUCUUCUUUUUUCAAUACUCUUGUUCCAAAAAGUUUAUAACUUUGUUAAAUUAUAUUUACAAUUUGGUUAAUUUUGAGAAACUUUAAAUUAAUUUCUAUGCUUAUUUGGAAAGGCAAAUUUUGAUAAACAUCGGUAAUUUUUAUUAGAGGUAGACAGAGGUAAUUGUAGUAGAAAUACACAUAACUCACAAACAAAGAACACAAUAGUAAUGUAGAAAUGAAAGUCCCAAAAUUGAACAGCGGAAAUAAGAAAUUAAGUUUGACUGCCCAAAAGCAAGAUUUGUAUGCACCAGAUAUUCAAAUUUUUGCAUGCAUCUGCAAAUUAAACAAAGUAUGUAGAAAAUUCAAUAAAAAUAAAAAACCUAACAAAAAGUAGAAGACCUAGUAGAACUCCACCAGCACGCAUAAGAGACAUCAACAAACUCCAACAGAAAAGGAAGACAGAGAAAGUUGAGAAUCACCCAAAGUGAGUAGACGAUCUCCGAAGGAAAAAGAAAAUGGCAGAAAUUUUUUUAUCUCUGAAGCUGAAGCUGAAGCAGGAGACUGAAACCAUAUGAAAC